rnacentral:rRNA from 1 species
AACGAACGCUGGCGGCAGGCUUAACACAUGCAAGUCGAACGCCCCGCCAGGGGAGUGGCAGACGGGUGAGUACCACGUGGGAACAUGCCCAAAGGUACGGAAUAUUCUCGGGAAACUGAGAGCAAUACCGUAUGUGCCCGAAAGGGGAAAGAUUUAUCGCCUUUGGAUUGGCCCGCGUCGGAUUAGCUAGUUGGUGGGGUAAAAGCCUACCAAGGCGACGAUCCGUAGCUGGUCUGAGAGGACGACCAGCCACACUGGGACUGAGACACGGCCCAGACUCCUACGGGAGGCAGCAGUGGGGAAUCUUGGACAAUGGGCGCAAGCCUGAUCCAGCCAUGCCGCGUGGAUGAUGAAGGCCCUAGGGUUGUAAAAUCCUUUCGUGGGGGACGAUAAUGACGGUACCCAAAGAAGAAGCUCCGGCUAACUUCGUG